GACGAACGCUGGCGGCGUGCUUAACACAUGCAAGUCGAACGGUAAGGCCCUUCGGGGUACACGAGUGGCGAACGGGUGAGUAACACGUGGGUGAUCUGCCCUGCACUUCGGGAUAAGCCUGGGAAACUGGGUCUAAUACCGGAUAGGACCACUGCCUGCAUGGGUGGUGGUGGAAAGCUUUUGCGGUGUGGGAUGGGCCCGCGGCCUAUCAGCUUGUUGGUGGGGUGAUGGCCUACCAAGGCGACGACGGGUAGCCGGCCUGGGAGGGUGACCGGCCACACUGGGACUGGGAUACGGCCGAGACUCCUACGGGAGGCAGCAGUGGGGAAUAUUGCACAAUGGGCGCAAGCCUGAGGCAGCGACGCCGCGUGAGGGAUGACGGCCUUCGGGUUGUAAACCUCUUUCAGCACCGACGAAGCGCAAGUGACGGUAGGUGCAGAAGAAGGACCGGCCAACUACGUGCCAGCAGCCGCGGUAA
rnacentral:rRNA from 1 species